rfam:Myotis brandtii contig290609, whole genome shotgun sequence.
GGCGGGGGGAGGGUGUCCCUCAGUCCGGAUUGCAAGAGGGUACAGGCCAGGCAGAGGGACCCCACUGGUGCACA